AACGAACGCUGGCGGCAGGCCUAAUACAUGCAAGUCGAGCGCGCCCUCCGGGGUGUGCGGCGGCUGGGUGUGUCACGCGUGGGAACGUGAACUUUUCUACAGACUAGCUACGGGAAACUGAGAAUAAUACCGAAUACUACCUAUGGGGGAAAGAUUUUUCGGACAAGAUUCGGCCGGCGUUGCAUAAGGUAGUUGGUUGGGUAAUGGCCUAACAAGCCGUCGAUUCAUAACUGGUUUGGGAGGAUGAUUAGCCACACUAAGAUUGAGACCCGGCCCAGACUCCUCCGCAAUGCGGCAGAGGGGGAUCGUGGACAAUGGGGGCAACCAUGAUGUAGCCAUGCCGCGAGAGUGAUGAAAGCCUGAAGGUUGUAAAGCUCAUGCAGCUGGGAAGAUAAUGACGGUACCAGCAGAGGAAGCCCCGGCUAACUCCGUG
rnacentral:rRNA from 1 species